UCUUUUAUUAUUUAAUCAGAAAUAAAUUGCGGUCAAGUGACCUCACACGACUUUUCUUAUCCUCGUGUUUGGACAAUAUUUUUUGAAGUGUUUCGUGAAUUUGGAUUAUUAAUUUCGAUGUGGUUUUAAAAGCUUGGAAUAAUAUUGCGUAAAGGUUGCUGUAGGCCAUUAGCAUUGACCGUACAGAUGUGCAAAUAGUUUUUCAUGGUGGUUUAUAGUUGGAUAUUUUAAAUUUCAUACAGUAGCAUGGAUAAAACUUUCAUGAAGAACAGACCAUUUACAAUCUUCAUUAUUGGAAUUGAUUAGACUAUUUGUCAGUCUGA